GCACAGAGAGCUUGCUCUCGGGUGACGAGCGGCGGACGGGUGAGUAAUGUCUGGGAAACUGCCUGAUGGAGGGGGAUAACUACUGGAAACGGUAGCUAAUACCGCAUAAUGUCGCAAGACCAAAGUGGGGGACCUUCGGGCCUCAUGCCAUCAGAUGUGCCCAGAUGGGAUUAGCUAGUAGGUGGGGUAACGGCUCACCUAGGCGACGAUCCCUAGCUGGUCUGAGAGGAUGACCAGCCACACUGGAACUGAGACACGGUCCAGACUCCUACGGGAGGCAGCAGUGGGGAAUAUUGCACAAUGGGCGCAAGCCUGAUGCAGCCAUGCCGCGUGUGUGAAGAAGGCCUUCGGGUUGUAAAGCACUUUCAGCGGGGAGGAAGGCGUUAAGGUUAAUAACCUUGUCGAUUGACGUUACCCGCAGAAGAAGCACCGGCUAACUCCGUGCCAGCAGCCGCGGUAAUACGGAGGGUGCAAGCGUUAAUCGGAAUUACUGGGCGUAAAGCGCACGCAGGCGGUCUGUCAAGUCGGAUGUGAAAUCCCCGGGCUCAACCUGGGAACUGCAUUCGAAACUGGCAGGCUAG
rnacentral:rRNA from 1 species